rnacentral:lncRNA from 1 species
CUGUGUCAUAUCCGAAUCAGUGUCGGCCGAUGUGUGGGUAAGAUAAGAGAGCGGAGAGCGGUAUCGACGUCGGGGCGAUAGAGGAGAAGAAGAGAGAAAAAGUGGGAGGACAAAUAGAAAAUUAAAUGGUAAGAUGAGGGAAACGAAUGAGAAGGAGAAAACAACGCAAGAAAAUAGAAUGAAAAUAUUUUUAUUAAUCUAAAAAAAAUUCGAAUUGA